rnacentral:lncRNA from 1 species
UCAGGCUUGAGUGAUGCUACAGAGCUUGCCGAUCACUUCUCGGGUGGACCUUGGAUGCUGUUAUCCCCACAAGAGAGAACAAGCUCUGGGAACAGAGUCACACUGAAGCAGCUGAGCAGGAAACUACCAUGGUCAUGAGUUAUCUGCCAUUAGGACCACCCCAUGGAGGCUUCAGCAACCCUCACUCUUUUACCUCUCAUGAAAAUUGGGUUGGUAACACCUUCCAGAGAUAAUUUCUUUGGCUCUUUGAG